ensembl:lncRNA PMS2P3 PMS1 homolog 2, mismatch repair system component pseudogene 3
AGGUCGCCGCUUGCUCUCGUUCCUAGGGUUUGGCCUGCAGUGGACGAGCAUCGCAUAGCCUGCGGGGCUGGAUGCUGACCGCCCGGGCCAGCACCUAGGCGGACGCGGAGCUGUGCAGACCAGGGUCUAUCAGCCACAGUCUCUGCAUGUUUCCAAGAGCAACAGGAAAUGAACACAUUGCAGGGGCCAGUGUCAUUCAAAGAUGUGGCUGUGGAUUUCACCCAGGAGGAGUGGCGGCAACUGGACCCUGAUGAGAAGAUAGCAUACGGGGAUGUGAUGUUGGAGAACUACAGCCAUCUAGUUUCUGUGGGGUAUGAUUAUCACCAAGCCAAACAUCAUCAUGGAGUGGAGGUGAAGGAAGUGGAGCAGGGAGAGGAGCCGUGGAUAAUGGAAGGUGAAUUUCCAUGUCAACAUAGUCCAGAACCUGCUAAGGCCAUCAAACCUAUUGAUCGGAAGUCAGUCCAUCAGAUUUGCUCUGGGCCAGUGGUACUGAGUCUAAGCACUGCAGUGAAGGAGUUAGUAGAAAACAGUCUGGAUGCUGGUGCCACUAAUAUUGAUCUAAAGCUUAAGGACUAUGGAGUGGAUCUCAUUGAAGUUUCAGACAAUGGAUGUGGGGUAGAAGAAGAAAACUUUGAAGGCUUAACUCUGAAACAUCACACAUGUAAGAUUCAAGAGUUUGCCGACCUAACUGAAGUUGAAACUUUCGGUUUUCAGGGGGAAGCUCUGAGCUCACUGUGUGCACUGAGCGAUGUCACCAUUUCUACCUGCCACGCGUCGGUGAAGGUUGGGACUCGACUGGUGUUUGAUCACGAUGGGAAAAUCAUCCAGGAAACCCCCUACCCCCACCCCAGAGGGACCACAGUCAGCGUGAAGCAGUUAUUUUCUACGCUACCUGUGCGCCAUAAGGAAUUUCAAAGGAAUAUUAAGAAGACGUGCCUGCUUCCCCUUCGCCUUCUGCCGUGAUUGUCAGUUUCCUGAGGCCUCCCCAGCCAUGCUUCCUGUACAGCCUGCAGAACUGUGAGUCAAUUAAACCUCUUUUCUUCAUAAAUUA